rnacentral:rRNA from 1 species
UGGGGAAUCUUGCACAAUGGGGGAAACCCUGAUGCAGCGAUGCCGCGUGAGUGAAGAAGGCCUUUGGGUUGUAAAACUCUUUCGUCGGGGAAGAAAAUGACUGUACCCGAAUAAGAAGGUCCGGCUAACUUCGUGCCAGCAGCCGCGGUAAUACGGAGGGAUCUAGCGUUAUUCGGAAUUACUGGGCGUAAAGCGAGCGUAGGCGGAUUUGUAAGUUGGAGGUGAAAUCCCAGAGCUUAACUCUGGAACUGCCUUCAAAACUACAUUUCUUGAGUUUGGUAGAGGAGAGUGGAAUUCCUAGUGUAGAGGUGAAAUUCGUAGAUAUUAGGAGGAACACCAGUGGCGAAGGCGACUCUCUGGGCCAAUACUGACGCUGAGGUUCGAAAGCAUGGGUAGCGAACAGG